ACGCUCGACACCUACGGGAGCAGCAGUUGGGAAUAUUGGACAAUGGAGGAAACUCUGAUCCAGUGACGCCGCGUGAAGGAAGAAGGUCUUCGGAUUGUAAACUUAUUUUGUCAGGGAAGAAAAAUGACUGUACCUGAAGAAAAAGCACCGGCUAACUACGUGCCAGCAGCCGCGGUAAUCUGAGCGGGCGUGGCGAAGGC
rnacentral:rRNA from 1 species